UAAUGAGAGUUUGAUCCUGGCUCAGGACGAACGCUGGCGGCGUGCCUAAUACAUGCAAGUAGAACGCUGAAGAGAGGAGCUUGCUCUUCUUGGAUGAGUUGCGAACGGGUGAGUAACGCGUAGGUAACCUGCCUUGUAGCGGGGGAUAACUAUUGGAAACGAUAGCUAAUACCGCAUAACAAUGGAUGACACAUGUCAUUUAUUUGAAAGGGGCAAUUGCUCCACUACAAGAUGGACCUGCGUUGUAUUAGCUAGUAGGUGAGGUAACGGCUCACCUAGGCGACGAUACAUAGCCGACCUGAGAGGGUGAUCGGCCACACUGGGACUGAGACACGGCCCAGACUCCUACGGGAGGCAGCAGUAGGGAAUCUUCGGCAAUGGGGGCAACCCUGACCGAGCAACGCCGCGUGAGUGAAGAAGGUUUUCGGAUCGUAAAGCUCUGUUGUAAGUCAAGAACGAGUGUGAGAGUGGAAAGUUCACACUGUGACGGUAGCUUACCAGAAAGGGACGGCUAACUACGUGCCAGCAGCCGCGGUAAUACGUAGGUCCCGAGCGUUGUCCGGAUUUAUUGGGCGUAAAGCGAGCGCAGGCGGUUUGAUAAGUCUGAAGUUAAAGGCUGUGGCUCAACCAUAGUUCGCUUUGGAAACUGUCAAACUUGAGUGCAGAAGGGGAGAGUGGAAUUCCAUGUGUAGCGGUGAAAUGCGUAGAUAUAUGGAGGAACACCGGUGGCGAAAGCGGCUCUCUGGUCUGUAACUGACGCUGAGGCUCGAAAGCGUGGGGAGCGAACAGGAUUAGAUACCCUGGUAGUCCACGCCGUAAACGAUGAGUGCUAGGUGUUGGAUCCUUUCCGGGAUUCAGUGCCGCAGCUAACGCAUUAAGCACUCCGCCUGGGGAGUACGACCGCAAGGUUGAAACUCAAAGGAAUUGACGGGGGCCCGCACAAGCGGUGGAGCAUGUGGUUUAAUUCGAAGCAACGCGAAGAACCUUACCAGGUCUUGACAUCCCGAUGCUAUUUCUAGAGAUAGAAAGUUACUUCGGUACAUCGGUGACAGGUGGUGCAUGGUUGUCGUCAGCUCGUGUCGUGAGAUGUUGGGUUAAGUCCCGCAACGAGCGCAACCCCUAUUGUUAGUUGCCAUCAUUCAGUUGGGCACUCUAGCGAGACUGCCGGUAAUAAACCGGAGGAAGGUGGGGAUGACGUCAAAUCAUCAUGCCCCUUAUGACCUGGGCUACACACGUGCUACAAUGGUUGGUACAACGAGUUGCGAGUCGGUGACGGCAAGCUAAUCUCUUAAAGCCAAUCUCAGUUCGGAUUGUAGGCUGCAACUCGCCUACAUGAAGUCGGAAUCGCUAGUAAUCGCGGAUCAGCACGCCGCGGUGAAUACGUUCCCGGGCCUUGUACACACCGCCCGUCACACCACGAGAGUUUGUAACACCCGAAGUCGGUGAGGUAACCUUUUGGAGCCAGCCGCCUAAGGUGGGAUAGAUGAUUGGGGUGAAGUCGUAACAAGGUAGCCGUAUCGGAAGGUGCGGCUGGAUCACCUCCUU
rnacentral:rRNA from 1 species